CAGAGGUUCUUGGUUUUGGAUCAUGCUGAAUUCCCCACACAGGUCCGGCUCGAGCCUCUCAAGGCUGAGGUCCUGGGUCUUCCCGCAGACUCCUUACUGUUGCAUCUCUCUAAAAGUCAAACUGGACAUCCAACAGCCAUGAUACUUGUAACAAACACAAGGUCAGAUAAAAGGGCAUGGAGGAAGCUUCUGUCUUAACAGUGAUGGCAAUAUGACUCUGAUCUUUAUUAUUAUUUUUCACUAAAUACAAAUUUGAAAACUGAGUUUCUUUAGAACUUUCUCACUUAAGGAUUUAUUGUAACUGCACUUCACUUUUUUUUUUUUUAGUAGAGGCAUUAUAGAGCAUCAAAGCACAGAACACACUCCAAUGUGCACAGAGUUUGUCACAAUUAAAACACACUUUAAGUUGGGGAUACUUGGGUUUUUGGGAAUCCAUUUUUUUCUACUUGUAUUUAAAUCACUUCUAAAGUGAUGUGAUUUUAAUUUCUCUUUUUUUCUGCUGUUUUGUAAGAUCUGCUUUAUGCAACAAAGUGUUCAAAUGAAUAAAGAUUCAACAAGACAACUUGACACAA